rnacentral:rRNA from 1 species
AGAGUUUGAUCCUGGCUCAGGAUGAACGCUGGCGGCGUGCCUAAUACAUGCAAGUCGAGCGAACAGAUAAGGAGCUUGCUCCUUUGAAGUUAGCGGCGGACGGGUGAGUAACACGUGGGUAACCUACCUAUAAGACUGGGAUAACUUCGGGAAACCGGAGCUAAUACCGGAUAACAUUUAGAACCGCAUGGUUCUAAAGUGAAAGAUGGUUUUGCUAUCACUUAUAGAUGGACCCGCGCCGUAUUAGCUAGUUGGUAAGGUAACGGCUUACCAAGGCGACGAUACGUAGCCGACCUGAGAGGGUGAUCGGCCACACUGGAACUGAGACACGGUCCAGACUCCUACGGGAGGCAGCAGUGGGGAAUCUUCCGCAAUGGGCGAAAGCCUGACGGAGCAACGCCGCGUGAGUGAUGAAGGGUUUCGGCUCGUAAAACUCUGUUAUUAGGGAAGAACAAAUGUGUAAGUAACUGUGCACAUCUUGACGGUACCUAAUCAGAAAGCCACGGCUAACUACGUG